AGGAGGAACAGCCCCAGUGGCGGGGCAGCUCUGGAAACCUGGAUUCAGCUCCGGCAGGAACUACUCCGUCUGCAGGGCCUGGAGGCUCCCGGGCGGG
rnacentral:pre_miRNA from 1 species